rnacentral:rRNA from 1 species
UACGUAGGGGGCAAGCGUUGUCCGGAAUCAUUGGGCGUAAAGAGCGUGUAGGCGGCCCGAUAAGUCCGCUGUGAAAGUCCAGGGCUCAACCCUGGAAUGCCGGUGGAUACUGUCGGGCUCGAAUCCGGAAGAGGUGAGUGGAAUUCCUGGUGUAGCGGUGAAAUGCGCAGAUAUCAGGAGGAACACCGGUGGCGAAGGCGGGUCUCUGGGCCGAUACUGACGCUGAGGAGCGAAAGCAUGGGUAGCGAACAGG